rnacentral:piRNA from 1 species
UAGAGUUGAUCUUAUAAAAGACUUGCUAA